rnacentral:lncRNA from 1 species
AGCACUUCCUCCCCUCCGUUGUCUCUGUUAAGAUGAGAUGGUCUCUAAGAUCAUGUCAGAUUUUAGAACAGGAAGGGAUCACAAGAAUACGUCAAUGACAAGCCUCCAGGGGCCGAAGACAUACUAAAGAUCAUGAAUAUCAAGUCACCAAUAAGGCCAGUUGAUAUGUAAAGCUUUUAAGUGACUUUUCCAUUGUCACCCUGCAGGUUAGUCUUAAUGUCCUCUAUUAACUUUUUCUAUUUUAUCCUUCAUAGGCUGGAAAUUAUUAAAUUUGAAAGAAUAAUUGAUAUUUUUGCCUUGUGUUUUGUUCUUUUGAAAAGAAUUUAAUGAAGUCUGUUCCUAUCUUAAGCUCAUUUCCCCAGGAGAGUCAAAUCUUAUAAUAAAACCUACUUUCGUUUUUAAACAAAAAAAACCAAAAACCCCAAAAAUAAAUCCCUAUAUCUCUGAUUGCUAGGCUUUUUAUUCCAGAAGAUUGCCUCUAAAGAAUAUCAAGACUUUUUUAAUGAGUUAUUUCUUAUUAAUCGAAAAAUAAUUAAGACUUUGUUGCAAAAAUUAUUACUCUUAGUCUAUUGGUGUCCUAGCAUAGAGCUGUUUCUGUUGUAAUUCACCCAGCCCAAGAGACUUCAUAGCACUUAUUCAUGAAAUGAGAAUCCCAUUUGUUAACUGCAUGUUCAUCGUUAGAUUAAACUUAAUGGCUUAUCUUACGUACCUUUUGUAUUUUUCAGAAUUCCCAGCGCAUGCUGUACAUCUAAUAAGUAAUGCUUAAACUUUUAUAUAAGUGAAUUACUUUCUUCUUACAGCUUUCUUAGAUAUGUAUUCAUUGAAAAGUUGUGGGCUUACUUCCUAUACUCAAAUAUAUAUAUAGUCAUAUACUUGAGUUAAGGAACCCAACUCAUAUACAAAAUUUCUCAUAGGGAAGAAAGGAGUAAAUGAAUUUAUAUCAAUUGUUUUCUAAUGUAGCCUUUAAAAACCCAAUUUUAAUUUUCUCAUGUAUGAAUUGUGAGGUCCUAGCCUCAUUAUUUUUUAUUGGAAUCUUAGUGACUUUUAGUGAUUUAUAUGAAUUGCACAUACUGGUGAUUUUUACUUUUUGUCUAAAAUAUUUGUCACUUUUUUUAUUUUCUGUAUUUUUGUAUUUUGUUAUUUGCUUCUUAAUUAAUUUGACCCAGGCAAGGUACAGUGACUCAUGCCUGUAAUCCCAGCACUUUGGGAGUCUGAGGCAGGUGGAUCACCUGAGUCAGGAGUUCAAGACAAGCCUGGCCAACAUGGUGAAACCCUGUCUCUACUAAAAAAAAAAAAAAAAAAUUAGCCAGGUGUUGGGGCAGGCGCCUGUAAUGCCAGCUACUCGGAAGGCUGAGGCAGGAGAAUCACUUGAACCUGGGAGGUGGAGGUUGCAGUGAGCCAAGAUCAUGCCAUUGCACUCCAGCCUGGGCAACAAUAGCAAAACUUUGUCUCAAAAUAAUAAUAAUAAUAAUAAUAAUUAAUUAGGUCCAAAAAAGUCCAAUCCAUUGCAAUUUUCCAUUUGGUAAACUUUUCCCAUGCAAGGUUUUUUAAAUAUUCACUUUACCCCACCCAGAGAUUUUUAAAAUAUUCAUUUGUUUCCUUUUGUUUAUUUAUUUUAUGUUAUUUUAUUUUAUUUUUUUUUUGAGACAAAGUCUCACUCUGUUGCCAGGCUGGUGUGCAGUGGCGCAAUCUCAGCUCACUGCAACCUCUGACUCCCUGUUCAAGCAAUUCUCCUGCCUCAGCCUCCCAAGUAGCUGGGUUGCAGGCAUGUGCCACCACGCCCAGCUGAUUUUUGUAUUCUUAGUAGAGACAGGGUUUCACCAUGUUGGCCAGGAUAGUCUCGAUAUCCUGACCCUGUGAUCUGCUUGCCUCGGCCUCCCAAAGUGCUGGGAUUAUAGGCAUGAGCCACUGAGCCUGGCCUGUUUCCUUUUAUUUUUUAAUUCAUGUCCCUGAUAUAAGCAAAUGUCCUAGCAUAUUUUUUGUAUGCAGUAAUAUCCUCAAAUCACUGUUGAAUAAUAUUUUCGUUGUCUGUUGAUUUUCAAUGCAUACUUUAUUAUGUAUUAUACUUUUAUUUAUUCUAGGAUUUGAUUCCAGAUAAAUCAUUCUAUUUUAUGAUUUAUUUUUAAAUUAGUACCACACAGAUUUAAUUAUUUGAUAGUGUUUUUGACAAUCUGGCAGACCUUAUUAUUAUUUGCAAAGUUUUUUGAAAAGUUAAUUUGCACAUCUUUAUUAUAUCAGUUGAAUUUGAGAAUAGUGGUUCCCAAUCCCAAAGCUUUAAAUCCCCUGAAUGGCGCAUAUCAGAAAUGAAGUUACCCUCCCUCUGCAGAGAUUAAAAUGUACUCAGUUGGGGUUCACCUUAUAGAAGGAGAGACAUUGCUGAUGAAUUUAUGUGAUGCCUGUGAGCAAUGUGGAGGCAGAAAAGAGAGGCUAGGCUGCAGAGGUUUUUAAAAAAAUCAAGUGCUAAAUUAAGUUCUAUUGAGAUUUUGUUUAGGAUGGCAUUACAUUUAUCUCUCUACCUAUAUGGCUUAUUUUACAUCUCAGUAAUUUUGUAUUUUUUUUCCCAUAGGGGCCCUACAUCCUUCUUACGGAGAGAUUAUACUUAAGUAUUUUAUCAUUUGGGUAAAUAACAUAUUUUAAAAUAUCAC